UUUUUUUUCUAAUUUACAAUCAAGGAGGCUAGUUAAGAAUUGACACUUGUAUAAUAUUUAGAAAACAUCCGUGUAAUAGUGCUAAUUUUAAUAUUUUUUAUUUAUUUAUUUACAGAUGUCCAUUUUUCUUUAUUUGGUGCCUUAAUACAAUCAAUUGAUGGGACAAUAUUAGCUUGAAAUCAAAUUCACUACUAAUAAUUACCUCUACACAUAUCUUACGUGGAAAAAUAUUUAACUUUACAUAAAUUUCUGCAUAACAAAUAUUUCCCACAAUUUUUUCUUUUUUAUUUUUUAAUUAACUUUGUUUAAAAAGAAUGAAUAUACGCCAAAAACCAAUGUCUUAAAACUAAUGAUCUCAAAUCAAUAAGGUUAAUUCUGUAAGUAUGUAUUCCGGGUUUGUUGAAGAAUUAAAUUUACAACCCUCAAUCACCAAAUCUGAUCUUCAUUUAUUAUUAUUUUAAUCAAAAUUGAAAGUAAUAUAACUAUAUAUCGAAGAUAAGUUAAUAUUCUGACUGUUACCAAAAAAAUAUAAAUCAAUAAAAUUAUAUUAUGCAUUUUUGCAUGUCC
rnacentral:lncRNA from 1 species